CCGUCGGGUUGUAAAGCUCUUUCGCAAGGAAAGAAAACUCACCUGAUAAUACCGGGUGAGGAUGACGGUACCUUGAUAAGAAGCACCGGCUAACUACGUGCCAGCAGCCGCGGUAAUACGUAGGGUGCGAGCGUUAAUCGGAAUUACUGGGCGUAAAGCGUGCGCAGGCGGUUCGAUAAGUCUGAUGUGAAAUCCCCGGGCUCAACCUGGGAACUGCGUUGGAAACUGUCGGGCUAGAGUGUAGAAGAGGGGGGUAGAAUUCCACGUGUAGCAGUGAAAUGCGUAGAGAUGUGGAGGAAUACCGAUGGCGAAGGCAGCCCCCUGGGCUAACACUGACGCUCAUGCACGAAAGCGUGGGGAGCAAACAGGAUUAGAUACCCUGGUAGUCCACGCCCUAAACGAUGUCUACUAGUUGUUGGUGGAGUAAAAUCCAUUAGUAACGCAGCUAACGCGUGAAGUAGACCGCCUGGGGAGUACGGUCGCAAGAUUAAAACUCAAAGG
rnacentral:rRNA from 1 species